rnacentral:rRNA from 1 species
AAAAACAUAACCUUUAGCAAAACAAAUAUUAAAGGCAACGCCUGCCCAGUGAAUAAUUAAACGGCCGCGGUACCCUAACCGUGCAAAGGUAGCAUAAUCAUUUGUCUACUAAUUAUAGACCUGUAUGAAAGGCAAAAUGAGGGUCUAACUGUCUCUUAUAAUAAAUCAAUUAAACUGAUCUACUAGUAAAAAAGCUAGAAUAACAACAUAAGACCAGAAGACCCUGUGAAGCUUAAAUUAAACUAUUAAAUCAAAUAAUAACUACUUUCGGUUGGGGCGACCUUGGAAAAAAAAAGAACUUCCAAGAUCCAGCAUAGCUGAUAAUUGAACCAAGUUACUCCAGGGAUAACAGCGCAAUCUUCUUCAAGAGUCCAUAUCAAAAGGAAGGUUUACGACCUCGAUGUUGGAUCAGGACAUCCUAAUGGUGCAGCCGCUAUUAAGGGUUCGUUUGUUCAAC